AUCCAAUUAACUACUCAAUUAGGGGCGGAGAGAAUCGCAGCCAUUGUCAACACCGUUUACAGUGCCAUCGAAAAAAGGAAUCAAAAGGAGGGAGUCUCACCGCAAAGUGCAUGUUGUCAGAAAGUUUUUUUACGGUAAUUGACGGUGUUGAACAUGCGAAGAAACGCAAUAAAGGAAGUCGACAAACAUCAGUUGAAGCGUUACGUUAAUCUGACCAAGAGAAUAAGUUUGGGAGCAGCUACAGGCCUUUUUGUUAUUGACACCCUUCCAAUUAAUUUGAUGUGAAACGUCAUUUGUGAAGAUCCUGCCCAGGAUGUUCCAGGUCACCCGCUUCACAUCCUGGCCUCCAAUGGUGGCCAAAGAAGAAAUCUAAAAGGCAUGGACAUCUCUUUAAAC